GCUGGGCGCAGUGGCGCGUGCCUGCAGUCCCAGCUACUUAGGAGGCUGAAGCUGGAGGACUGCUUGAGUCCAGGAGUUCUGGGUUGUAGUGCCCUAUGCCUAUCAGGUGUCUGCACUAAGUUCGGCAAUCAAUAUGGUGACCUCCUUGCAGCCGGGGACCACGAGGUUGCCUAAGGAGGGGUGAACCCGCCCAGGUCGGAAACGGAGCAGGUAAAAACUCCCGUGCUGAUCAGAAAAAUGUCCAGCCUCAUCACCUUUAAGAAAAAUAAAUAUGGCCGGGGGUGGUGGCUCACGCCUAU
rnacentral:SRP_RNA from 1 species